rnacentral:tRNA from 1 species
GGGGGUGUAGCUCAGCUGGUAGAGCGCCUGCCCUGCUAGCAGGAGGCCGGUCGGUUCAAGUCCACCCACCUCCAC